rnacentral:rRNA from 1 species
UACGUAGGGGGCUAGCGUUGUCCGGAAUCAUUGGGCGUAAAGAGCGUGUAGGCGGCCCGGUAAGUCCGCUGUGAAAGUCGGGGGCUCAACCCUCGAAUGCCGGUGGAAACUGUCGGGCUCGAGUGCGGAAGAGGCGAGUGGAAUUCCUGGUGUAGCGGUGAAAUGGCGCAGAUAUCAGGAGGAACACCGAUUGCGAAGGCAGCUCGCUGGGACGCGACUGACGCUGAGACGCGAAAGCGUGGGGAGCAAACAGG